rnacentral:lncRNA from 1 species
UUUUGACAGUGGGUGGUUACCACCCAGCGGCAUCACUACCAAAGAAAGCCAUUGGAUGAAGGCUGUAUCAUCAUAGUACCAGGGGUACUUCACCAGCCACUGAAUCAGCACUCCUUGUGACAAGGAAGUUCCAGCAGGUAAGAAAAUGUUUGCUCUUCCUCAGUCUCUGUGCUCUUCCUCAGUCUCUGACACCUUGAUGCAACUUGAGCUUAUUGUACAAUGUUCAAAGGGAAAUGAAAGAAAAAAACAUCUCUUUCCACAUGUCUGAUUUUUUCAGAAAACUGUAUGAAAAGGAAAUUAUCAAAUCUUGAAUACAUUAAAAAAAUUAACUUCAGUUUAGAAUAGUGUUAGAUUUAAAUAAUUACCAAUACUAGGUGCUAUAUACUCACCCAGUUCCUCUUAUUAACAUCUUCUAUUACUCUGGUAUAUUUGUCUUAACUAAAUAAUGACACUGAUACAUUAUUAACUAGACAUCAUUUUUCCAGAUUGCACUGUUUUUUCCUAAUUUUUUUUAAUAUUUCAAGAUGCCAUUCAGGAUACCACAUUACAUUUAAUAGUCAUGUCUCCUUAUCUUCCACUAGUCUGUGACAAUUUUUUAGACCUUCCAUGUGUCAGUUACCUUGACAGUUUUGAGAAGGACUUGUCAAGUAUUUUAUAGAAUACCUCUCGAUUUGGAUUUCUUAUAUCUUUUUUUUUUUUUUUAAUGAUUGCACUGGCACUACAGAUUUGUUUUGUGUAUCCAUUUUAUUUUAUAGGAAGAUCACAGAUAAAAUGCUAUUCUUACCAUAUUAAUAGUAUAUGCUAUCAACAUGAAUAAUCACUGACAACGCUAAGCUUGAUCACCUGGUUUAGGUUGUAUCCCUCAAAAUUGUGUAGGUGAGCACUAUGCUACUUGGUAAAAAAUUAUUUUAUCUUAUUUAGUUUAUAUUGUACACAAACUAAUAUCAGAAUACUACUUUUUUUUUUUUAUAUAUUUCUGAUUUUAAUGUUGGAAACUAUAAAUACAGAUAGGUAAAAAUUAUAACACCAAGAAUUUAAAAACUUCACACUGAUCCAGUAUAUAGUCCAAGAUUUGUGUUUUUAGUGUUUAUUGGAAUAUGAAUGAAUCAUUGCCCUUUGACCCCAAGGAUUUAAUUUCAGAAUUUUAUUUUCAUACAUCAUCAUCAGAGUAGUGCCCAAUUCUUCUAAACUAUUUAAUUGCUAAAGCUUGGACUUUUGAGUAAUGAAAAGACUGAAAGAAAGUUUGUGUUUCAUGAGCUUAUCAACCCAGAUCAUUGCAUUAACCCAGAUAACAAUAGGGGAUAUGAACAAUGACCAGCCAUCAUAACUAAGAAAUCUGAUAAUAGGAGAAAUAAGUAAAACUUAGAAAGGUGGAGUAUUAAAAGCUUUUAGCUUGUAUAGGGUCUUUCAAAAGCAUUGAUAAAUUGGAUGGUACUAGUCAGAAGAUUUAAAAGGAAUGGGUGUGUUAUCAUUAGAAAGCUAAGUUUAGAAAUAUAUGCUAAAGCCAUAGGUAGAUGACAUAGAUAUAUAAAGAUGAAGGAGCAGGUUACACCCAGAUAAUAACUAAACAAUGGAAGGAUCAUAGAGAAGCAAGAGCUACUAGUGAAGCAAGAACACAUGGGCAUAUGUUACUGCACACAUAUAAUGCAUAUUGUCCAACAUAAGUGUGAAUGAAAAUCUAAUAGGAAUUCUUAUAAAAGCAACACUUCUGGGAGAAAACUAUGCUGAAUGGAGUACAUGUGGAAAACAGUUUUGUUGAUAAACACGUUCUCAAAACAGGCAUAUGCCUCUGAUAGAAGAUAGUAAUGCAAUAGCACAGGUAGAAUGUAAUUAUGUCCCUAUUGAGAUAAACAAGAAUAAGACACUUACUACACUACUCUGGAAUCCAGAAAAGAUUGUUGAUGGCCAGAGUGCAGUAAAUCCAAGAGAAAUAGAUCAGAAACCAGCAAGAACAGUGAGAAAGUUGUUAGCAUAGAAAAUAAGGCAACAAAACACUAAAUAAACAACAUAAAAAAAAAAAGAUUAUAUAUGACUUGUGACCAGACAAGAGAAAGAAAAAAGUUACACAUUGAAAAAUGAACACAAAGUCUAAAAUGACAAUACUGCCACAUUGCCAGAAAAUGUGGUGCACUAACAAUGACAGUUAAACAGGAUUAAAGUGCUGAAGAAGACUCAUAGGACCCAAAAUGACAAUGCUGACAAGUGUGCAAUUUAUUAAGGGAAAGGGACGCAAUAUAGGAUGUCAUUAUUUGCAUCACAGCCAAAGGCUGCUUCAUACCACAAGGUUUGGAUAAUGGCCAGGCAUCAGCUUCCAUUUUCCUCCAUUGCAUGAACACAAUUUCACUGCCAGAAAAGAGCCAUGUGCACAGAAUCACUCAGAAGCUCAAAAUGGAUUUACUGCUGAGGUUUCUUUCCCCUGCCAGAUAUGUAGGCAUAUUCUUGCUAUGUAAUCAGCCCCAAAAGCAGAGGACUCUGAAGGUCUCAGUGAAAACAGGUAUAAAUCAUCAAUCACACUGUUAUUAAUAAACACUGUUGAUAAGUUGUUAAAAUCUGCCUCCAAACAUUUUGGACUGCUGGUUACAAAGAAACAUUGUUAAUAUAUUUCAUUCCUUAAACAACAGAUAAUGAUGUGCAGAUACCUUAGCUCAGGACUAUUCUGGGUCUGCAGGACUUAACCCUCACAGCAAAGUCCACCAUCCUGAUUUUGGGUCAAAGCCUUUUAUAACAAGAGUGAAAACAACAACAACAAAAUUCAUUCUUAGUUUGAUAGCAAUCAUGUAGAUGUGUCUUUCAAUAGCAUAUAAUCAAAUAGAUAAUCAAAACACAUAUACAUAUUUCCAAGAGUUGUAAUAAUCAGGGAGGAUUUGUAUCAUUUAAACCAUCCUAUAAUGCAGCACAAAUUGUCUUAUAUUUUUAUAUUUUUCCCUUUUGUUUGCCUCCCUGAUCUAUAGCUAUCUAUACUUUUUGGUAUACAUCUAUUGAAUAAUUAAGAACCCUAGUCAAUCUGUCAUCACUUAAGUCAUUUAGACUGUAGGCCAAUUCUGUUUCAUAGAAUAGUAUUCUGUGAAAUGAAAACCAUAAGAGACAGACACAUUAGUAUUAUUCCACACAGUCAUUGUCUGAGCUCUGGUCUAUUUGUUGAUUAGGAGUACAUAAAACCAUCCUGGAAGUAUGUUUAUUAAAUUAGCCAUUGUACAGCUCCCUCGUUUUUUUUUUUUAUUAAAAAAUUUUUUUAAUGUUUAUUUUUGAGAGACAGCAUGAGCGGGAGAGGGCACAGAGAGAGAGGGAGACCUAGAAUCCGAAGCAGGCUCCAGGCUCUGAGGUGUCAGCACAGAGCCCAAUGCGCUCGAACCCACGAACCGUGAGAUCAUGACCUGAGCCAAAGUCGGAAGCUCAACUGACUGAGCCACCCAGGUGCCCCAGCUCCCUCGUUUUUUAGAAGAAGAAUUUUGGUAGUCUUUGUCCCAAGGGACAUCUAAAUCUAAGCUAAAAGAGCAUAUCAUUCACUUGUUCUGAACUUUUCAAAAGGCACCAGAGUGAUCUUAGAUUUUCCUCCCUUGUAACACCCAAAGGUUGGCUACUUUCCACUAAGCAACAAUCUCACAUUGUACUCACUUACCAUUAAUUGAAAAAUAAACCUUUCUCCUUGAAGUCAGUGAUGGUAAUGGUAACAAGAUGAGAUGACCAGGCCUUAUUCUUUGGGCCAUUCCCAAUCAUAUAGAGUUGGAUUGGAUAAAUACAGAGAAAUAUAUCUAUUCAACCCACUAGGCAACAAAAUAUUUGCAUAGUCAAGCCCAACUAGGUGAAAUAUAAAGAGAAUUUUGUCCAUCCCAUCAAUAUCUUGGGAAUUCUUGUUAUUAGUCAAAUUAAUACACAUAGUUUCUGGUUUUGGAAUGUUUCUUGCACCUUAAUUUUAGCCCUGUUAGGGCCUUCCAAAUAUGGCAUCUAAAAAAGAAAAUUGUAAAGUAUAGAUGAGUUGUAUGUAAACUUAUUUUUCAUCCCCUAUGAUAUGGACUGAAUGUUUGUGUCCCUACCCACCCUCACCCCACCCCUGAAUCCAUACUUUGAAGGCUUAAUUCCCCAGUGUGGUAGUAUUUGAGAUGUCGAGCAUUUAGGAGGUAAUUAGGUUUAGUUGAGUCAUGAGGAUGCAGCCCCCAUGUUGGCUUAAUGUCCUUAUAAGGGGAAGAGACCAGAGCCCUCACACUUUGCUCCAUGUCAAGAUAUAGCAUGCAAGGAAGCUAUCUGUAAACCAGGAAGAGGACCUUUACCAAGAACCCCCACCAUGCUACCAAUUUGAUCUCAGACUUCCAGCCUCCAAAACUGUGAGAAAUAGAUAUUUGUUAUUUAAGGCACCAUAUGUGUGGUGUUUUGUUAUAGCAGUCUGAAUUAAGACAUCGUAUUCUAUCUUCCCAGUACUACCAAUAAAACAGUGAUUUAACUAAUCAAGACUCAACUUUAAGUCCCUCAUGUUAAAUUGCAAAACAAUGCUGAAGGUUUGUAGAUUAGUGCUUCUAUCUUUUGUUACCCCUGUGUAUUGAAGCAGAUAUUUAAAUUGCUAAUUCUGAUUGUUUAUUAAAUGGUCACUAAAUUAACCACACUUAAUCCAGUAGUCCAGUUAGUAUAUCCUUUUAGUUUGGUAUAUCUUUUAGUUUCACAGGAACUUUCAACCACCAUCUUAUACACUUCCUCCCAAUUUUCACUGUUAUUUUCUGUUUCCAGUUUUGGAUUCAGUUCCUGGAGAGAAACGUCUGCCACAUUCACUCCACUCCACACAGUCACACUUGGGACACCAUGUUCUUCCCAAAUCCAUCCAUGGCAGCUGCUGGGUUGAAUGCCAAGUUUUUUCAGCCAUAAAAUAGCUAAAUCUAACAGAAUCCAGAUUACACCCACUUCCUCUAGGUGACAUAUGUGGGAAUAUCUGCUGGGUUGGAAACCAUAAUUAUGAAUCAAUAAGGGCUGUAUGUGACUAUCUGAGGAAUAAUGAAUUUGAAGACAUUAACAUUCCUCUGCACCGGAUUGAGAUGGCUCUUUCUCUACUGCUGGCGGACUCCUGUAGUUAUCACCACAAUCUUAGAACUGGCAGUCACAGGUAAUCCUUAUCUGUCAUGUCACAACUUCAGGUGUCUGAAGAAAUAAUGUCCCAUGUUGCAGAUCCAUCAUUUCUCCUGAGUUUAUCUUCCAAAAUGCCCACAGGGCAAGCUCAUCAUCCUGAGGCUUUCCCAACAUACUGAUGGCACACACUGUACCAACAUCCACUACAGUGAUCUUAUUGUUUGAGACGGUUGCCUCUUCUACAACUGGUGUAAUCAGUUUUUCCUUAAGAGUUGCCAUUGUAUCCAGGAAAGAAAUGUCUGUAAAAGUCUUGUGAAGGAGACAAUGUCAGAUUCUGGCACUCUUUUCUCAGACUCAUAGCCUUAAGAACUAUGAAGAAUAAAUGUUUUUUUUAAGCCAUCUAAUCUAUAAUUUAUUAUAGCAGCCUGAACUAAGGGCCCAUCCAUAUAACCUCAUUUUCCUUAAUUACCUCUUUUAAGGCCAUGUUUCUAAAUACAGUGGCAUUCUGAAAUACUGAGAGCUAGGAUUUCAACAUAUGAAUUUAGAGGGGCUACACUUCCCUCCGUAAUAUAGAUGAAUCUUAAAAACACACUUAGUGAGAUAAGCCAGAGACAAAAUAAUAAAAAUUGUAUGAUUUCACCUAUAUAAGGUACCUACAAUAGUCAAAUUUAUAGAGACAGAAAGUAGAAUAUUGGUUACCAGAAGGUGGAGAAAGAGAGGAAUGGAGAGUCAUUUUUUAAUGCGUACAAAAUUUCAAUUUGGGAUGAUGACAAAGUUCUGAAGAUUGGAUGUUGUGGCAGUUGCACACCAAUGUGAAUGUACAUAAUGCCAUUGAGUUUCAUAUUUUAAAUUAUUGAAAUGGUAAAUUUUAUGCUGUGUAUUUUACCACAAUAAAAAAUGGUAGAAAUAAAACAUACAGUAAUGGAAAUAAGGGAUGCCUUUAAUGUGCUCAUUAGUGUACUCAUUAUAGCCAAGAAAAGAACAAAAAGAAUCAGUGAACUUCAAGGUAUGUCAAUACUUCAAAGAAGGAAAGUGUGAAAUUAAAAUUAAAACUUUAAUGUUUUUACUUUUAAUUGAUCUAAAACAUGUUUUUAAAAGCAAUAACUAUCACAAUGUGUUGGGUGAUUAUAGGAUAUAGGUAAGUAAAAUGAAUGACAGGAAUGUCACAGGGACAUAGGGAGAACUAGGGAAUACUCUUAUAAGGUAUCUAUGAUACAUGUGAAGUCAUAUAGUGAUAUUUAAAAGUAGACUUAGAAUACAUUUUAAGCUGUAGGGCAACCAUUAAGAAACUAAGAUAAAUAUAAUUUUUCUUCAUAUAUUUUCCCUCUGCUAUAGUGGGUUGUAAUUGACAAAAUUGUAUACAUUUAAAGGGUACAAUGUGAUCAUUUGAUAUAUGUAUACCUUGUGAAAUUAUCACAAUCACAUUAAUAACUCAUCUAUCACUUCACAUAGUUUUGUGUGUGUGUGUGUGUGUAUGAGAACUCUUAAGAUUUACUCUCUUUUCUUAUACUUAAUUUGUUGAGUUAGGUGGGGAAUGGGCUAGAUGGGUGAUGGAUAUUA